GGUCGGGCCUGGUUAGUACUUGGAUGGGAGACCGCCUGGGAAUACCAGGUGCUACAGCAGACAUGCAUGCUCCAUCGCGUCACUGGCAUGUCAGACUGACAGGACAAUCAUGAUGACAUAUCUGAAACACAUUUCUUCUCAGUAAAAAUAUUUUCAAACCCAUUUUGGACCGGCAACAUAUUCACCUUCUCAUUUAUGAUGAUGAUGAUGAUGAUGAUGAUGUGGACGACGAAUAUACUGUGUGUGGCACGGGAAAAUGUACGUGAUGUUUUCAGUUACUUGUGAAGAAAAUAAUCAGAAAAUAAUAAAUAAGUGAAGUAAAUAAA